UACGUAGGGACCAAGCGUUGUCCGGAAUCAUUGGGCGUAAAGAGCGUGUAGGCGGCUUGUUAAGUCUUGCGUGAAAUCUCGGGGGCUCAACCCCCGAGCGGUCGUGAGAAACUGGCAGGCUAGAGUGCGGGAGAGGAGAGUGGAAUUCCUGGUGUAGCGGUGAAAUGCGCAGAUAUCAGGAAGAACACCCCGUGGCGAAGGCGGCUCUCUGGAACGCAACUGACGCUGAUGCACGAAAGCUAGGGGAGCAAACAGG
rnacentral:rRNA from 1 species